rnacentral:misc_RNA from 1 species
GAUGAAGAACGUAGCGAAAUGCGAUAAGUAAUGUGAAUUGCAGAAUUCAGUGAAUCAUCGAAUCUUUGAACGCACCUUGCGCCCUUUGGCUAUUCCGAAGGGCAUGCCUGUUUGAGUAUCAUGAACACCUCAACUCUCAUGGUUUGCCAUGAUGAGCUUGGACUUUGGGGGUCUUGCCGGCCUAUGGGUCGGCUCCUCUCAAAUGAAUCAGCUUGCCGGUUUUUGGUGGGCAUCACAGGUGUGAUAACUAUCUACGCUUGUGGUUUUCCACCAGGGUAACCUUCAGCAGUGGAGGUUCACUGGAGCUUACAAAUGUCUCUCCUCUGUGAGGACAGCCCUUUGAAUGUUUGAUCUCAAAUCAGGUAGGACUACCCGCUGAACUUAAGCAUAUCAAUAAGCGGAGGA